UCGAGAAUCAUUCACAAUGGGGGAAACCCUGAUGGUGCGACGCCGCGUGGGGGAAUGAAGGUCUUCGGAUUGUAAACCCCUGUCAUGUGGGAGCAAAUUAAAAAGAUAGUACCACAAGAGGAAGAGACGGCUAACUCUGUGCCAGCAGCCGCGGUAAUACAGAGGUCUCAAGCGUUGUUCGGAAUCACUGGGCGUAAAGCGUGCGUAGGCGGUUUCGUAAGUCGUGUGUGAAAGGCGGGGGCUCAACCCCCGGACUGCACAUGAUACUGCGAGACUAGAGUAAUGGAGGGGGAACCGGAAUUCUCGGUGUAGCAGUGAAAUGCGUAGAUAUCGAGAGGAACACUCGUGGCGAAGGCGGGUUCCUGGACAUUAACUGACGCUGAGGCGCGAAGGCCAGGGGAGCGAAAGGG
rnacentral:rRNA from 1 species